rnacentral:lncRNA from 1 species
AGAAGGGGGGGUUGGGCACAGCGAUUGGUGGGCGGGGGGCCGGGCCUGGGCCGGCGGGGAGCGGAUUGGUCGGAAAGUAGGUUAGUGGUGCGACAUUUAGGGAAGGCAGAAAGUAGGUCAGGGACGGAGGUGCCUAUUUACCCGCGCCGGACUUACUGCCGCCGCCGCCGCGGGAUCCGACUGGGGGCUCGGGUGCGGGCGUUCCCCGCCAGCCACGACCCCACUGUAGGUUUCUGGAAGAAGUUGACUGUCGACAAGGAAACUACAAAACAUGACAAUCGCUUUGAGGUGACCAACAAGUCCAGCAGCCCCUUGCUCCUCCCACGCUGGAUCUGAAGCUUAGGGACACUAACUUCAGGUAAAAAAUAAAUCCCGUCCUUUGGCAAUGGACUUAUCAAUGGCACUUUGAGUGGCGAUUCUUCCUCCAGGAAGUGUCAGUCCAUUCAGAAGCCCUGAAACUUGGAAUAUUUUAGCCCAGGCGACUCUUUGACUGUUAAGAAAGGG